CACGGGACUCAGCAGUGAUAAAA
rnacentral:piRNA from 1 species